rnacentral:rRNA from 1 species
GGGGGCUAAGCUUCGUUGUCGAGAGGGGAACAGCCCAGACCGCCGAUUAAGGUCCCUAAUUUUAUGCUAAGUGAGUAAGGAAGUGAUGAUUCUAAGACAGUUGGAAUGUUGGCUUAGAGGCAGCAAUCAUUUAAAGAGUGCGUAACAGCUCACCAAUCGAGAAUCAUUGCGCCGAUAAUAAACGGGGCUAAGCAUAAAACCGACAUCGCGGGUGUGUCUUUAUGGCACGCGGUAGGAGAGCGUAGUAUUCAACAGUGAAGGUGUACCGGAAGGAGCGCUGGA